rnacentral:misc_RNA from 1 species
GAUGAAGAACGUAGCGAAAUGCGAUAAGUAAUGUGAAUUGCAGAAUUCAGUGAAUCAUCGAAUCUUUGAACGCACAUUGCGCCCCCUGGUAUUCCGGGGGGCAUGCCUGUUCGAGCGUCAUUUCACCACUCAAGCCUCGCUUGGUAUUGGGCAACGCGGUCCGCCGCGUGCCUCAAAUCGACCGGCUGGGUCUUCUGUCCCCUAAGCGUUGUGGAAACUUUCGCUAAAGGGUGUUCGGGAGGCUACGCCGUAAAACAACCCCAUUUCUAAGGUUGACCUCGGAUCAGGUAGGAAUACCCGCUGAACUUAAGCAUAUCAAUAAGCGGAGGA